GCAGGUCCGCAUACCCCGCCCCUUCCGCUUCUGUGGUCUGAACUUCCUGCGGCUGAACCGCCCGGCUGAGCCGACAUUGCCGGCGUCUUUGCGAUUCGACCCGACGCGCUCCGUUUUCUCGACAGCAUGGUGGCCUACUGGCGACAGGCUGGACUAAGCUACAUCCGAUAUUCCCAGAUCUGUGCAAAAGCAGUGAGAGAUGCACUGAAGACAGAAUUCAAAGCAAAUGCCGAGAAGACUGCUGGCAGCAAUGUAAAAAUUGUGAAAGUAAAGAAGGAAUAAUCUACCCUGACUAAAACUUGAUGUGCCGUAUUUCCAAGGUGAAGAUGUGUGGCCACAUGUUAACGGCAGAUUGAAAAGGAUCUUAUUUCAUGGAAAAAAAAAAAACCGUGUCUUGUUCAUAAAUUGACAAUGUCAAUAAAUUGAAGUAUGGUUCACUGUUACUCUUGAUUUUUAGUUUCUGUCAGACUUUUAUUUUCUUUAAAGGAACUGUCUGCACAGCUGCGUGAUUAUAGCCAUGUGAACCAGAGUUUCUUAAAAGCACGGGAAGCCAGAUUUAAUAUUUAGUGACCAAAGGGAUGCCGAAAGCAUUUUGAAAAUGUCUCAAAAUUAGUUGUUUAAUGACAUUAAUUGGUGAUCAAAAUUAUCUGCUGCCAUUGAGGCUUUGUAGUUCCUUAUUUUUGGAUUGUUGUCAGAAUAAUGAAUUGGUCAUCAGUAACCUAAAUGAAAAUAAUUAUUCCAUACUAAAAGUGCUUAUUGGAAGAAGAAAUACUAAAUUGUACUCACGUUUUUUUGUAUUAUGCACUUAAAACCUAUAGAUAAGAACAAUUACUUUAAGCACAAAGUGCUUUUCACAUUGUUUUGUAAAUUAAUCUUUAUAUUCUGGUAACAUUUCUCAUAGGAAAUGAGGCAAAGCUAUUUAAUAACUUGCUUGCUGAGUUGAUGGCCAAACUAAAAUUACAAUCUAAAGUUUUUGACUGCAGGUCUGGGGCAUGAUGAUCACAACGCAGUUUCGUGGUAUUUUCAUAGUGAUUUCAUUAAUUGAUUAUUUAGGGAUGAAGAAUUGUUGCAAGUUACUGUUUUUAUCUUUCUUUGAAACUUGGAAGCACUUGGCCAGGUAAAAUACCAUUGCAAAGUUAAUUGCCUGAUUUUAACUAUUUGGAGAAUGGAGAAAUAAAUUUGAACUGGAAAUUUUGAAACACUGUUCUAGGACACGUUCUCACUAUGAUACUUAAGCUCACAAGAAUUCAUCAGGGCCACUGUCAGCAAUGCUGAGGUCAAGCCAAAAAGAAAGUCUUUGUCCCAGCUUCUGGGAAUGACUUACUGUCCCAGUACUUGACCUGUAGGUUUUAUUGAAUUUUCAGCACAGAGUGAUCAGGGAGGCCCAGCCGAUUGAGUGGGAAAGAGUGCCUCUGGAAAACAGUGCGUUAGGAGCCCCUGGAGUGAGCUGUCAGCCUGCUAUUUGCAAGUUAGGAUACCUCAGUUCAGUGCUGUGGUCCCCAAGACUAAGGUACUAGGAAGCAUCCUCCAUUACAGGGAAUAGGAAUAAAUGAAUCACAGGUCUGUAGGGCCUUUUUGAUAAUGGGAUGAAUAAAGUAACUAAUAAAGGGGCUAAAUUAUUUCCAGUCAAGUAAUUAGAGAUACGUCAUUUAUUAAGGAGGCAGAUGGAAUGCUUACGAGGUGAGACUUAGGGAUGGGGCUUGUGGUAUGGAAAGGAGUGAAGUAACUGAGUAAAAGACAAGUUUACCAUCCGGAACCAUAGAUUCUGAG